AAGAAAUACAAUCCCAUCCUUAUAUAGAGAUGGGCUGACUUGACCCUUAAGAAACCAAUCUCCAAAUUUAAGGAAAUAACAAACCAAUCUAAUCUAAUCUUUCCUAAUAUAUGGACCCUAUUACUGUUCACGUCGUGAACAGUACUUUCUGCACAUGACAGGCUGACAUAAAUAUUAUUUACUCAGUCUUUCAUAAACUUAAUUUUCUGCUUAUGUUUCACAUUGCUAUAUUUGCUUCUCUUGUGAUAAUGUAAUCAUACAUUUUACUCUCUCUGUAUGCAGCAGAGGGGGCUCACAACUCAAACUCAUCCCAAGAUGUCCAUAAAUAUUUGCUCUGGAUCUUCUCGAUAGCUAGCAGCCCAGCAGCAACUCACAGAGAACCUGAAUCCUUCAGAACUGACAAGGAGACUGGGGCUCACAACUCAUCCCAAGAUGUUCAAAAAUAGUUGCUCGGCUGCUGGAUCUUCUCGAUAGCUAGCAGCCCAGCAGUAACUCACAGAGAACCUGAAUCCUUCAGCAGAACUGAUAAGGUGUUGAGAUAGAAAACAAAGCGUAUUGUUUUUUCUUUACUUACUCCUUAAUUGAUGCUAUCUGCAUAGCCUUCAAUACAGGUUCAUUAGUUUUCUUCUUCAAUCUUGAUAGUGUUUGCCUUUUUUUCUUUUUUGUAAGAUACGGGUAUCAGUUACUAGUGCAGCAGUGUAAGAACUGGAAUGGUAAGUUCAGUGAUAUUCCUAUGAGGUGAACAUUAGUUGGCUUGAGCUUAAUGUACAUACAGAAUGUAUUAA